CUCCUCUCUAGCAAAGUGCUUGUGGUGAGGAUUCAGUGAGAUGGUUUGUAUAAAGCACCAAGAACAUGUGACCCACAGACUGUUGUUGGUUACGAUGACAACGAUCGUCAUCACUGCAGUCUUCCCUUAGAGGAAGCAUCCCUUAGGCACCAAAACUUCCUGCCAGGUCUUCAGAAGAGGCAGCAAAGACUGAUGAGGACCCGUCUUCCUCCUCUCUGAGACCACUAGCCCCUUCUCUGCAUCUCUUAUUCACCAUAUGGCUCCUCCUUUCAUUAGCCGAGUGUGGUGGAGCACACCUGAUAUUCCAG
rnacentral:lncRNA from 1 species